CUCAGAAUGAACGCUGGCGGCGCGCCUAACACAUGCAAGUCGAACAAGAAAUCUUGAGCUUGCUCGAGAGAGUAAAGUGGCGCACGGGUGAGUAACGCGUGGGUAACCUGUCCUUAAAUCUGGGAUAAUCCACCGAAAGGUGGCCUAAUACCGGAUACAGUCCUGAAAACCGUGGUUUUCAGGAUGAAAGCUGACCUCUUCUUGAAAGUUGGCGUUUAAGGAGGGGCCCGCGUGCCAUUAGCUUGUUGGUAGGGUAAAGGCCUACCAAGGCUACGAUGGUUAGCUGGUCUGAGAAGACGGCCAGUCACACUUGAACUGAAACACGGUCCAGACUCCUACGGGAGGCAGCAGUGAGGAAUCUUGCGCAAUGGGGGAAACCCUGACGCAGCAACGCCGCGUGAGUGAUGAAGGCUCUUGGGUCGUAAGCUCUGUCGGUGGGGAAGAAACUACUAUCGGAUAAUACUCGGUAGUACUGACGGUACCCACAAAGGAAGCACCGGCUAUCUCCGUGCCAGCAGCCGCGGUAAUACGGGGGGUGCAAGCGUUAAUCGGAAUUAUUGGGCGUAAAGAGCGUGUAGGCGGUUGUCUAAGUCUGAUGUGAAAGCCCGGGGCUCAACCCCGGAAGUGCAUUGGAAACUGAGCAACUUGAGUACGGGAGAGGAAAGUGGAAUUCCGAGUGUAGGGGUGAAAUCCGUAGAUAUCCGGAGGAACACCAGUGGCGAAGGCGGCUUCCUGGACCAAUACUGACGCUGAGGCGCGAAAGCGUGGGGAGCAAACAGGAUUAGAUACCCUGGUAGUCCACGCCGUAAACGAUGUCAACUAGGUGCAGGGGGUGUUGAUCCCCUCUGUGUCGCAGCUAACGCAUUAAGUUGACCGCCUGGGGAGUACGGUCGCAAGAUUAAAACUCAAAGGAAUUGACGGGGGCCCGCACAAGCGGUGGAGUAUGUGGUUCAAUUCGAUGCAACGCGAAAAACCUUACCUGGGUUUGACAUCCUCUGACAGUCCCUGAAAAGGGAUCUUCUCGAUUUAUCAGGACAGAGUGACAGGUGCUGCAUGGCUGUCGUCAGCUCGUGUCGUGAGAUGUUGGGUUAAGUCCCGCAACGAGCGCAACCCUUGUCUUUAGUUGCCAAUAUUAAGUUAGGCACUCUAGAGAUACUGCCCCGGUUAACGGGGAGGAAGGUGGGGACGACGUCAAGUCCUCAUGGCCUUUAUACCCAGGGCUACACACGUGCUACAAUGGGCUGUACAAAGGGUUGCCACCUUGUGAGGGGGAGCUAAUCCCAGAAAGCAGUCCUAAGUUCGGAUUGGAGUCUGCAACUCGACUCCAUGAAGCUGGAAUCGCUAGUAAUCGUGGAUCAGCAUGCCACGGUGAAUACGUUCCCGGGCCUUGUACACACCGCCCGUCACACCACGAAAGUUGACUGUACCAGAAGUUGCUGGGCUAACUCCGGGCAACCGGAGAGGCAAGCACCUAAGGUAUGGCUGAUGAUUGGGGUG
rnacentral:rRNA from 1 species